rnacentral:rRNA from 1 species
GCUAAACGCGAAGAACCUUACCUAGGUUGAACUAUGCAGGAAAAGCCACAGAGAUGUGGUGUCCUUCGGGGCCGUCGCGAUAGGUGGUGCAUGGCGUGUCGUCAGCUCGUGUCGUGAGAUGUUGGGUUAAGUCCCACAACGAGCGCAACCCUCGUCUUUAGUUGUCCACGCAUUCUAGUUGGGUCGACUCUAGAGAGACUGCCGCGAAUAACGACGGAGGAAGGUAGGGGAGUGACGUCAAGUCAUCAUGGCCCGUUACGUCCUGGGCGUACGACACGUGCUACAAUGGGCGCGUACAAAGGGCUGCAAGACCGCGAGUGGAGCCAAUCCCUAAAAUCGCCUCAGUUCAGAUUGCAGUCUGCAACCCGACUGCAUGAAGAUGGAAUUGCUAGUAAUGGCGAGUCAGCAACAUCG